AGGCAGGGGGUUUCGUAGAGUAGUGAGUUAACGACCACAACCUUCAUUUGCUGUUCAGUACUUAAGCAUCAGAUAGUGAACUUUUUUUUUUUACGAUUGGAAGAAAAAAUAUUUUGUAAAAUCUAAAGAAAUGGCUGAUUGAGCUGUAAAGUUACCACUGGUCUAUUACAGAAGACUCAACUCAGUGAUGAUAGACUUCAUAGUAACUGCAAACAGAGUCAUUUAUUUGUUGCCCAAUUGCGCUUUACUUGGUAAUUUGCCACUCAAGUUAUAUUUUGG
rnacentral:lncRNA from 1 species